rnacentral:SRP_RNA from 1 species
UUUUUGGUUCCUCGCAAUGGUAUUCAGUUUACUUGGUCAGGUUCGGAAGAAAGCAGCCAGAAUUGAAAUUACUGUGUGCCGAGGUUUUGCUGGGAAUAC